AGGGAUAUAGCUUAGUGGUAGAGCACUUUCCUAGCAUGUGUGAGGCCCUGGGUUCCAUCCCCAGUAUUAUGA
rnacentral:tRNA from 1 species